rfam:Arabis alpina cultivar Pajares Aa.chr2_contig_1302, whole genome shotgun sequence.
AUCCCAUGGUGAGGACAACUUCUUGUGUAUCCUUUGAGACGCUCCCAAGCUUCACUGUGGGAUUCCUGCUUACCCUGCUUAAAGGAGUUGAUGUCACUUUUGUACUU